UACAGAGGGUGCAAGCGUUGUUCGGAAUUAUUGGGCGUAAAGGGCGCGUAGGCGGUGCUGUAAGUCUGUAGUGAAAUCUCUGGGCUCAACUCAGAGUCUGCUAUAGAAACUGCAGUGCUGGAGUGUGGGAGAGGUGAGUGGAAUUCCCGGUGUAGCGGUGGAAUGCGUAGAGAUCCGGAAGAACACCGGUGGCGAAGGCGGUCUGCUGGGCAGUAGCUGACGCUGAGGCGCGACAGCGUGGGGAGCAAACAGG
rnacentral:rRNA from 1 species